UACGUAGGGUGCAAGCGUUGUCCGGAAUUAUUGGGCGUAAAGAGCUCGUAGGCGGUUUGUCGCGUCUGCUGUGAAAACUCGGGGCUUAACUCCGGGCCUGCAGUGGGUACGGGCAGACUAGAGUGCGGUAGGGGAGACUGGAAUUCACGGUGUAGCAGUGAAAUGCGUAGAUAUCGUGAGGAAGACCAGUGGCGAAGGCGGGUCUCUGGACAGUUCCUGACACUGAGGCACGAAGGCCAGGGGAGCAAACGGG
rnacentral:rRNA from 1 species